ensembl:misc_RNA 7SK 7SK RNA
GGAUGUGAGGGCAAUCUGGCUACAACAUCUGUCACUCCAUUGAUUGCCAGGGUUGAUUCGGCUGAUCCCACUGGCUAGGCGGGUGUCCCCUUCCUCCCCCACAAGCUGUGCACUCAGACAACCUUCCCUGAUAAAGGAGCACUGUUCUUCAGUCAAGAGUAGCUGCACUCCCCUGCUAGAACCUCCAAAUGAGCUCUGGUGAAUAAUGACUUUAUGACAUUAGCUGGUAAAUGGAUGGAAAUGGAGAACAUCAUGCUAAGUGAAAUAAGCCAACUUCAGAA